GCCGGGAUGGUGGAAUUGGUAGACACAAGGGACUUAAAAUCCCUCGCCUUUGAGGUGUGCGGGUUCGACUCCCGCUCCCGGCA
rnacentral:tRNA from 1 species